rnacentral:rRNA from 1 species
GACGUAGGGCGCGAGCGUUGUCCGGAUUUAUUGGGCGUAAAGAGCUCGUAGGCGGCUUGUCGCGUCGGACCGUGAAAACUUGGGGCUCAACCCCAAGCCUGCGGUCGAUACGGGCAGGCUAGAGUUCGGUAGGGAGACGUGGAAUUCCUGGUGUAGCGGUGAAAUGACGCAGAUAUCAGGAGGAACACCGGUGGCGAAGGCGGCUCUCGUGGGCAUGUCCUGACGCUGAGGAGCGAAAGUGUGGGGAGCGAACAGG